UUAACCCUGGAGAUAUUCAGGUAAUUGGUCGCUAUUUUACCAUGAAGCAUGUUAGGUGUUAUAUUUGGACGGUUUCUUUUUGUUUCA